rnacentral:tRNA from 1 species
UCCCUGGUGGUCCAGUGGCUAAGACUCUGCACUCCCAAUGCAGAAGGCCUGGGUUCAGUCCCUGUCAGAGAA